UUAGUAUUUGCUUUGGCUCAAUUGUAUUGUCCAUGUCAGCUGAUAUAGCUCAACCAUGCCUGCAGACACUCUGGACUAUAUUUACAGGAUCUAGAAACAAUGUUUGUUAUAUAGGAAUAAAGAGAGGGAGUUAUUUCAUGUAAUGAAUAUUACCAAAUAAGUUAGCAUAUUUUCCAUUGCUCUAUUGUCUUGUUUCCCUGAUGCAGAUUGAGCACAGAAACGAGGUGGUAUCGAUUUAUUCCAUCGAUGCUGAGUUUACAAAACCGUUUUGGGUUUUCGGUGCUUCCUCCUUUGAUUUCAUCCCAACCAAUGGCAACAACAACUUAAUUUCUUGCAGCUACAGCUGUAAUUGAUAACAUGCAGACAGUUUGAGAUGAAGUGUAUGUGAGUUGGAUUAGUAAUAUGAUGGGAUGAAGAUGGGUUUGCGUUUU